CCAAGCACCGAAACCACAAUGCACAGGGACUGCACUGCGCUGCUCCGCUUGCACAGAUGCCCUUUGCAGCCAAUCUGUCCUCAGCUGGGCCGAUCAUUACUGCUUUGCCUUGGGAAUUUUUAAUUGAAACAGCCCCUUGGAAAAACAGCCCAUAUGUCUGCUGCUCCGGAGAGCAGCCGGCUGCUGGCAGGAGCUGCUCAGUGAUACCCCGUGGGAGAAGUCAGCUCCAGCCCCCGCAGUGAAAUGGUGCUUAGGAGGAAUCCCUGUUGCAUGAGACCUGGGCUGGGAAAGCAGGACGUGGCGGUGUGACUGGCGCAGCUCAUCAGAUGAACACCACAGAUCAAUAAUGAGAGCCACACAAUAACAUAUCACUGUUUUGCAACAUUGCCGGGCAGGGAGAAGCUGCUUUGUUUAACUGCAAAAGCAAACUUUGCUUUGAGGCUCUGGGGACGUGGUCUGGGCUUGUCUCUGUUUUAGCAUCAAGCAAAGGAAGAGGCUGCGAAGCGACCGAGGAGAUGAGAAAUGGAUGAGCUCUUAUCAUUAAUUUUAAUGGGAAAGGAGCGGAUGAAUCCCAGAAGUGGGAGAGGAAAUUUCAAGCUGCCUUUACGAGCUCUGGUGUGAUACCAUUUUCUCAUGACCUUUGGUCUGUUUGUUACUGCUAAACUGCCUGGGAGCGAAACCCUCGAGCACAGUGCAAUGGGAUCGGGGUCUGAAUGGGGCUGGGGUUGAAUCUCAGCCUUCAUCUCCCCCACUGAGACCACUGCUGGGCUGGGAGAGCCGUGCCAAGCUCAGUGCUCAGCACAGCUUCCAUUGGGAGGGCUGAGCGUGGUCCUUGCCCUUCCUGUGCUGCCCAGGUUGCUGCUCAAAAAGCACAAAAUAAAGUCCCAUGUGGGUUCGGUUCCUUUUCCCAUCCCUGUUUCCAGUAUUGCUUCCUGGGUCUGUAGGGAGAAAAGCCAUUAAAUACACCUACUCCUUGCUUUUAGUGCUGACCUUAUUCUCUUGUAAUUUCCUUCAAUUGGCACGAGCUUUUAUAUUAUAUUAUACCCAAUUUCAAUGGAUUUGUAAAUAAUCUGUUAGCAAAAAAUAAAAGAGAAGAGCAAUCUCCACUUU